UACGAAGGGUGCAAACGUUGCUCGGAAUCAUUGGGCGUAAAGCGCACGUAGGCGGCCCUGUAAGUCGGAUGUGAAAUCCCUCGGCUCAACUGAGGACGUGCAUCCGAAACUGCAGAGCUCGAGUAUGGAAGAGGGUCGCGGAAUUCCCGGUGUAGAGGUGAAAUUCGAUAGAUAUCGGAGGAACACCAGUGGCGAAGGCGGCGACCUGGGCCAAUACGUGACGCUGAGGUGCGAAAGCGUGGGGAGCAAAGCAGGGAU
rnacentral:rRNA from 1 species